GACCGCACAACAUUAACAGCUGAGAGGACAGAAAGUUUCCAUUAUGUACAUGUAUGCCCCUGUGCUGGAGCACAGAUCUAGAUCUAUAUAUACACACAUCUAGAUCCGGAUCUGGAUCUGAAAGUCGGAGGCAGGCAAAGCAAUGGCUCUAAUUGGCCCGUGCAGGCUCUGCGAGUGUCUUCGCCUCUGACAACUCUGAAGCUCUUCUUCUUCUUCUUCUUUAGCUUCGUCAGAGGCGAAUACACUCUCAGGAUCUACACGGUCGCCACCUUUAUCCUCUCUCUCUCUUCGUCUUCUCAAAUCGGUCAUGGAAAAGGGUUUGCUACUUCUGCUUUUCUGUUGUUUACCUAAAUUGAAAUUAUUCAUAUACAUAUUUAAUCCUUAUUCGGAUCUGUACUCGGUAGUUAAUUUAAUCUUCUAGACCCUGGUACCGAGUCUUCAGAUCUGAAUUGAAUUAUCAGGGAUGAAGCUGAAGGAAAGUGUUUAUCAGGAAAAUUAUUUUUGACCGGAUCAAUUCACACAAGAGUUACCUGUGGCAGAUGCACAUGAUUGGAAUAGGCUCUCUCGGUUGCGAGAUUUAGUUGAGUUAAUUUUUUACUUGGGUUGUGGAUCCUUUUGUCAAAUUAAAUUAAGCCCUGAUGAGCUAGCAGCUCUGCUGGUGGGAUUCCCAAAAGAGUUUGAACGAUCAAGUUGAACGUAUUGUUGUCUUGUUUAGGUGGCUGAAACAAUUUUUGGAUGACUAUGAUGAUUUGUACACAUGUAGCCAUGUAGGCCAUUACAACCUAGGAAAUUACUACAUAAUGAGCACAUUUGUGGACAGAUUUUUGGAGUAUAUGUAGGUUUCUGCACAUAGAAUUAUAUUUUUGAACUUGGGUGUGCUUUUAUAGAAAAUGGGCAAUAACAGGAACUGGAAUUUUUGUGAUAUAGAAUUGAGUUUGCCUGCUGACUCUUCUGAGUUCUGCCCAGUACAACAUGGCUAAGCAUUUCCUGGGAAAAUUUUUGGCAUAGAAUUGGUGUAUACAAGUCACACUUGCAAUAACAGAUCAAGGUGGCUAUUAAUGAGACAUUGUAUGAGCCUGUCAUACAUGAGUUAUUUCAAUUUUUAUUUCAAAGACUUCUGCAGAGGUUCAAUAAGAUAUUUAAUUGCCACAUUAAUUUCUGAUGAACUUUAUUGUAUGCUCCAUGUGUGUAUUUGAAAGUAAGAAUAUGUCAAGUCACACAAUUUUAUACCUUUUCCCUUAUUUGAAUCUUUGCUUUGCUAGAUAGAUCGACAUGACUUUCAUAUAUAUAUUUUGACAUCAAAUCUACUUUAUCUCUUUGCUCAACUCUGGAUUCAGCGUGCCUCAAAACGAUCAUAUAAGUUGAUGAGAUCUGAAUAUAGGUGUUCAAAGGAAAAAAGGGGUCUUCCCAUUCAUAUGGUGAACUUGCCUGUGUUAGAAUAAUCUCAAUGAGAGUGUAUUAUGAAACAAGAUACAUAGUUUGUUUUUUUGGCUACACAACAAUAUUACUCUUGCAACUCAUGAACACCAAGACAAUAGAUUUGAAAGAAAUGUUGUAAAUGACAUUGAAAUAAAGAGAUUGAAAUUUUUUGGUUGUGUAUUCAUUCAUUCCAUUUGAUGCUUGCAUCCUUUGCUGAAUUGUUGUGUAUGGUGAAUCCAUAUAUGAUUAGAAGUACUGGAAAGAUGAGUGGCUUGAUAUGCAGCAGUACUCAGGGCCUUUGUCUUGAUGUAUUGGCUUCUGGUUUUGCUUGGCCUACUGCACAAACAUUAUGCUGUGGAGCUUUAUCCCUCUUGUGGCUUGUAGUAUAAGGAUAGGCAUUAGCAUGCUUGUGAGUGGAGUGCAGCAUGUCUGCAGUCUGGUCUGGUUACUCAAAUAGAGCAGAAUGCGUUGGCUGUUUGUCCUUUGCAUUGCUUGUAUGUUUUCUAUGAUUUCUGGUGUGUUGCAAUCCUAAUUUAGAUUGGAUGUUUCGUUUCUAGUAUAUUAGCACUGAUAUCUGUUUCCAAACCCAAAUUAGGAUUGUUAUUAAUUUCCAAUCCAAUAGGUUUAACAAGAUUCUUAAAAUAUUUUGUUUGUCUUGUGCUAUUAAUUGAUCUUCUUGCAGUUGAAUCUUACUAGUUACUUCUCCAUCAUUCCCGGUACGAGGCCUUACAUUACCCAUCUAGAUACUCAAGCUGAAAGUCCCUCCGAAAGUCAAAUGCUUUCUCCUUGUAGUACUGCUCCUGUCACACUUGAAACUCUUGAUCAGAAUGAAGGAUUCCCUUGAUUUCAGCAUGGAACUAAAAUACACUGUAUCGAAUCUCUUCAUAGUUUCAUUGAGCAGCUGUGAAUUGUUAUUUCCACAACUUGAUUGGCAGAUUCGUUUUGCAGAAGCUGCAAAGUUGUACAUCUAUGUUCGUGUCAUUGUAAAUCCCGUCUCUGAAUGUAGCGCAGCGAGCAAGUCCGAUGGUGUGAGCAGCUUAGAGGACUAGUGAGUGUUUGAGGUUGAGGUGAUGGGAUGGAAAGCUAGAUUUCCACUGUGAGAAGCUGAAAAGUGGAGCAGGGAGGUUUCUGUUCGUGUCAUUCGUGCCUUGUGUUCAUGCAUCGCUUCUGCUUAGCAGUACAUUGUAUGAAAGGACUUGAACACAUAUGCAGGUGGAAAAAGUUGAAAAAGUUCUCAGAAAUUGUAAUGACGGUCCAAACUGGCUUAAGGUAUUUCUAGAUCCUACAUACAGUAAAAUGCACUGGCCUUGUAUAUUUUCAUUAGGAUAAAUGGCUCUAGCAAAUAAUAACAUUAUUGAAAGAGGCAAGUCAUGAUUAAAAUAAAAAAUCAUUUUUUGAGGCUU